rnacentral:rRNA from 1 species
GACGUAGGGGGCCAGCGUUGCUCGGAAUUACUGGGUGUAAAGGGUUCGUAGGCGGUGCGGCAAGUUGGGAGUGAAAUCUCUGGGCUCAACCCAGAGGCUGCUUCCAAAACUGCUGUGCUUGAGUGUGGGAGAGGCGCGUGGAAUUGCAGGUGUAGCGGUGAAAUGCGUAGAUAUUCGCAAGAACACCAGUGGCGAAGGCGGCUCACUGGCCCGAUACUGACGCUGAGGCACGAAAGCGUGGGGAGCAAACAGG